CACGGCAGGGGCCAUUUAACCUGGCUCUCUCAACCAAGAGAACUCUGUGGACCUCAGUGCUGAUGGCCCAUCGCAGUCACAGUCACUCAACGGUGCUUCGGUGUCCGGCACAGGCCAGAUUUCCUCCCCAGGCUCCUUCUUGUGUCUGCUCAGUAUCUGAGGGAAUUCUUCAGUGGCCAGAACAACAAGAAACCUCAAACCUGUGUGGCUGGAACUUGGAUUUCACCAUGUAGACCAGGAUGGCCUUGAACUGACAGAGAUCUACACCUUUCUUCCUCCAAAGUUCUGGAAUUAAAGGCACAUGGUCUUUAUGCCCCAUGGUCCAGCCUCACACUGUAACAGAGAAAUCAAGGGUGCUUACUCACAGUCAAAAGGCUGUGUCACAAUCUUCCUGUUGUGAUCUCCCAAUCAAAUUUCCCCAUCUUAUCUUCUGCUAUGCCCUUUGACCAUUGUUUCACAAACCAGAGUCUGCAGAGCUCUGAGUUCUGGGAGAGGAGAGAAGUUCCUAUUGAUAAUUUUGGAAUUAUCUGUCUUUGGUUCAGUAGUAAUUAGGGGGAAAUAUAUAUACAUAUAUGCCAUC